rnacentral:rRNA from 1 species
GACGAACGCUGGCGGCGUGCUUAACACAUGCAAGUCGAACGGAAAGGCCCUGCUUUUGUGGGGUGCUCGAGUGGCGAACGGGUGAGUAACACGUGAGUAACCUGCCCUUGACUUUGGGAUAACUUCAGGAAACUGGGGCUAAUACCGGAUAGGAGCUCCUGCUGCAUGGUGGGGGUUGGAAAGUUUCGGCGGUUGGGGAUGGACUCGCGGCUUAUCAGCUUGUUGGUGGGGUAGUGGCUUACCAAGGCUUUGACGGGUAGCCGGCUUGAGAGGGUGACCGGCCACAAUGGGCCAGAGAUGCCGCCCAGACGCCUACGGGAGGCAGCGGUGGAGAAUAUUGCAAAAUAGGCGGAAGCCGUGUGCAGCAACGCCGCGUGCGGAAUGACGGCCUUCGGGGUAUAAACCGCGUUCGCCUGUGACGAAGCGUGAGUGACGGUAAUGAGUAAAGAAGCACCGGCUAACUACGUG